GACGAACGCUGGCGGUGUGCUUAACACAUGCAAGUGGCGACGAACCUGGCUUCGGCCAGGGGCAAAGCCGCGAACGGGUGAGUAACACGUGGGUAAUCUGCCCCGAUGACUGGGACAACCCGAGGAAACUCGGGCUAAUACCGGAUGUGGUGCCUGGACAUAAGUCUGGUCACUAAAGGUAGCUUCGGCUUCCGCAUUGGGAGGGGCCCGCGGCCCAUUAGCUUGUUGGUGGGGUCAAGGCCUACCAAGGCAACGAUGGGUAGCUGGUCUGAGAGGACGAUCAGCCACACUGGGACUGAGACACGGCCCAGACUCCUACGGGAGGCAGCAGUGGGGAAUCUUGCGCAAUGCGCGAAAGCGUGACGCAGCAACACCGCGUGAGGGAAGACGGCCUUAGGGUUGUAAACCUCUUUCAGAUGGGACGAAGGUUGUCCGGUGAAUAGCCGAGAUGAUUGACGGUACCGUCAGAAGAAGCUCCGGCUAACUACGUGCCAGCCGCCGCCGUAAAAC
rnacentral:rRNA from 1 species